rnacentral:rRNA from 1 species
GUGGGGAAUAUUCCGCAAUGGGCGCAAGCCUGACGGAGCAACGCCGCGUGAAUGAAGACGGUCUUCGGAUUGUAAAGUUCUGUCAUUAGGGACGAAGGACUCAUGUAAAUAAUAUGAGGAAUGACGGUACCUAAGGAGGAAGCUCCGGCUAACUACGUGCCAGCAGCCGCGGUAAUACGUAGGGAGCAAGCGUUGUCCGGAAUUACUGGGCGUAAAGGGCGCGUAGGCGGAUAAUUAAGUCAGAUGUGAAAUCUCCAGGCUUAACUUGGAGCGUGCAGUUGAAACUGGUUAGCUUGAGGGCAGGAGAGGAAAGUGGAAUUCCUAGUGUAGCGGUGAAAUGCGUAGAUAUUAGGAGGAACACCAGUGGCGAAGGCGACUUUCUGGACUGAACCUGACGCUGAGGCGCGAAAGCAUGGGGAGCGAACGGGAUUAGAAACCCGGGUAGUCC